rnacentral:tmRNA from 1 species
GGGGGCGACAGGCUUCGACGGGGAUCAAAGAGAUGGAAGUAGCGUGCCGAGGUUCCAGUUGGCCUCGUAAAACCACUGGAAACUGAUUCAAUUGCAGACGAUUAUCCGUAUGCAAUGGCUGCUUAAAAGUGGCCCGUCCGUUCCAAUUUAGCCUGCGAAGUUGGAAACGGGCGCCGAUAAAGCGGGCUGGCUCGAGCGCCUCCGCCUGAGGGCGUUUGGGUGAGAUUUUUCAGGCUGGCAAUCCGGUGAUCCUGUCGGUUGGAGCGCUGGAUGGCGAGAUUUAAUAGACCGACUACGCACGUAGAAACUUCCGUUGAAAGGUCUUCGGACAUGGGUUCGAUUCCCAUCGCCUCCACCA